ensembl:lincRNA
GCGACGCCGGGAUUCCGCGUCCCGCGGCGCGGCGCACAGUUCCGGAGCGCGGGGAGGAAGUCGCGUGCCGUCGGGUCCGUCCCGGGGGGGGCGCGCUGGCCGCUGAGCGGUGGGGGAGGACUGGGCAGGGCCGCGGUGUUCCGGGGGUACCUGGUGGCCCCGCGCGCGAGCAUUGAUCCUGGGGGUCGGGCGUGCAGAAUGCAGACCGGAAAUGUCAAAUGAGUUGGGGUUCAAAGUAACAGAACACUUUCUAAAGUAACAAGACGGCGUUAAAAUUGAAAACAACCGCAUCUGGGAUGCUCACUGCGCGCGCACUUUCCGCUGGCGCGGUGGCCCGGCCCGGUGACCGGCGCCCGGCCCCGGGACGCCCCCCGCGGGGCAGGCGCGGGUGACGACAGGCGGAGCUUCCUCUGGGCGGUCGCAGGGCCGGACGGGACCGGGCUGGGGAGGCCUCCGGCUGUGAUGGGGCGUCGGGGUGCCCCGGAGAAUGCAGAGCAGCCACGGAUAGCAAGAAAAUAUUCCUUCCUGAAGCACAGCCGGGCCCUGGAAGCGCAGAGGACAAGGACAACCUGGAAAGAAUCCCUAGAAGAGCCAAGCGUGGUGCCGCACACCUGUAAUCCCAGCACUUGGAAGGCUGAGACAGGAGGAACACUUCGAGUUCGAGUCCAGCCUGGGCUACAAAGUGAGCUCAAGGCCAGCCUGAACUGCAUAGGGAGAUCUUGUCUCAAAAAGACAAAAAAAAAAAAAAAAGAAUCCCUAGAAGAAGGAGUCUGCAGCACCCCCAGAAACCGGGUAACAUCUUGCCCACCAUCCUCUCCCAAACAUUCUGAGAUCGAUUCUGCUUCCUGCCAGGACCCUGGCUGGCCCCAGGAAUGACUCCAGGAAACAAAGUCCCACGGCAGAGUCCUGCCCGGGUUCCUACCUGUCUGUGGGCACGGAGGGAGCAAAAGGGUGUGAGGAGCCCCCCGCGGCAGGAUUGCUCAGAUUCGCACAGCGAUGACGCCAGGGACGGAGGGAGCACACAGCUCUGGGGGUCUUACUGCUGCUAAAUGCGAUUGCUAUGGCAACAGCGAUAAUUACAAAGACUGUACAGCCACACCGCUCCUGUCUGCCCUGGGGAGUUCACAAAAAACAGAUAAGCAUGAGGUAUUAAAUUCCUGACUCAAGGCAGAGAUAUGUGAAAUUCAAAGAAUCCCUUGUCUCUGCUGCGUCGCAGGCCAGACAAGGUUCCGCUUCGGGUCCCGGAUACAAAGGUGCAGGCUGCGGUCCUGCUCAGUCUCAGCCCGCUACCUCAGCAUCUUGCGGGACGGAGGCACCGGGGGAAGGAGCAGGAUCGAUACUGUGGUGCGAACUGUCGGAUGGACACAGACAAGGCUGAUUCCCAAAUCCCGACUCUCCCUUGCCGGGGUGGGGGUGGGAGUAGAGGAUAAACGAAGGACGCCGGAAAUCCUCCUUUGUGCCUUGGGAAGAAGCCGGGGCCCUGCGGCUGGCUGCAGCGACAGUGAUCUGUAAACGCGCACGCUCGCACCUGGGGUCCCGAUGUAGUCCGUGUGUGGAGGGAGGGAGAUGUUUUGGAAAAUGCCCUGAACUAUGAAUAUAUUGUGAAUAUACUGACAACCAUGUAACACCUCAAAAGGAGGCCACCAAAAUCACAGUAACACCAAUCGUUCUGUCCAAAACAACGCGAUGACACUUUGAUUUGUAUGGAUAACCCUGAUAUGUUUAGAACAUUAAUAAUCUUAAAUGGUUUCAACUUUUUUUUUUUCAGACAGAGUCUCACCAUGCAGUAUAGACCGGCCUUGAACUCGCCAUGUCACCCAGGCUGGCCUUGAACUCACUGCGAUCCUUGGUCACGGGGAGCCAAGGAGUAGGCUGAUAAGUGUUAAGGGAUUAAUUAAGAAAUAUUCAUUGAACUGGAAAGAAAGGGUUCAAAAGAAAGGAAAAACUGUGACGGGAGAAAGGGGAGAGGAAGGAAAGGAAAAGAAAAAAAUAUAUAUAUAUACACACACACACAAUAGUUAAGGUAGUUAUACAACUAGCUUGUCUUGGUUCAUUGAAAAGAAAGUUUUGUGCUGAUACUUUUUUGGGACAAUAUUUCAUGCCUGUAUCUUGUACUCUGAACAACUACUAUGUAUUAAUUAUUGUUACUCUCCUGCUAGCCUGUUUCGAAAC